rnacentral:rRNA from 1 species
UACGUAGGGGGCAAGCGUUGUCCGGAUUUAUUGGGCGUAAAGAGCGUGUAGGCGGCCAGGUAGGUCUGCUGUGAAAACUCGAGGCUCAACCUCGAGAUGUCGGCGGAAACCAUCUGGCUAGAGUCCGGAAGAGGAGAAUGGAAUUCCCGGUGUAGCGGUGAAAUGCGCAGAUAUCGGGAAGAACACCCGUGGCGAAGGCGGUUCUCUGGGACGGUACUGACGCUGAUACGCGAAAGCGUGGGGAGCGAACAGG